rnacentral:lncRNA from 1 species
UUAUGGGGCAGGAGCACUUAGGGGGCAGGGGCACUUAUGGGGCAGGAGCACUUAUGGGGCGGGGGCACUUAUGGGGCAGGGACACAUCACUAUGGGGCAGGAGCACUUAUGGGGCGGGGGCACUUAUGGGGCAGGAACUCACCCAGGGAGUGGCGGGAGACAUCGGGGACGUUCUCAUAUUGCUCGGGGGGGGUGGCUGUGGGGCAAUCAGUGGGGUCAGUGGGAUCUAUGGGGUCAGUGGGGUGUAUGGGGUCAAUCAAUGGGGUCAGUGGGGCAAUCAGUGGGGUCAGUGGGAUCUAUGGGUUCAAUCAAUGGGGUCAGUGGGGUGUAUGGGGUCAGUCAAUGGGGUCAGUGGGGCAAUCAGUGGGGUCAGUGGGGUGUAUGGGGUCAAUCAGUGGGGUCAGUGGGAUCUGUGGGGUCAGUGGGGCAAUCAGUGGGGCCUAUGGGGUCAGUGGGGCAAUCAGUGGGGUCAGUGGGAUCUAUGGGGUCAUGGGGUCAGUCAGUGGGGUCAGUGGGAUCUAUGGGGUCAGUGGGGUGUAUGGGGUCAGUCAGUGGGGUCAGUGGGAUCUGUGGGGUCAGUGGGGCAAUCAGUGGGGUCAGUGGGAUCUAUGGGGUCAGUGGGGUGUAUGGGGUCAGUCAAUGGGGUCAGUGGGGUGUAUGGGGUCAUCCAAUGGGGUCAGUGGGGUGUAUGGGGUCG